GUAUUUGCUUCAGCCACACCUUACUAAAAUUGGAAGGAUACAGAGAAGAUUAGCAUGGCCGCUGUGCAAAGAUGAAAUGCAAAUCCAUAAAGAAUUUUAUAAUUAA
ensembl:snRNA Gm23241 U6 spliceosomal RNA